rnacentral:piRNA from 1 species
UNCAUGAACACAGGUGCUAGAUAGCUU